ACUACAUGAGGAUCUAUUGCUCUGCAUCUCAAAGGGCAGAGAACAGACAGAGGAGGUCUUACAGACCUCUGGGCUGACAGUAUAGUGAAUGAAAGUGGUUCAGCUCAAAUGGUCAAGAAAUGGAGGAACAUGACCGUAUGGCCAAACAUUCCAGAGUUCAAAUGUGAGGAGGAUGUUAGAGACCUCAGAAGUGUGUGAUUAUGGAAAAGAGACAUCUGAGGGCAGUGGGGAUGCCACCCUGCCUGGCAUGUCUGUGUGGCACAGGUCAAGGAGAGCUGGACCUAAAAGCACCUCUACCAUCUCAGCUCAGGUCCAGAUCAUCACAACAGGCCUAAGCUUCUCCCUCCUAGUACGUCUUAAGAUCACAGUAAGUUAUGGUGACAACAGUGCAGAUUCCAAGCAACAAAAGGACUCUACUGGCCUUUUACAUACAGGAUGUUUACCUGUCCGUGGCCAGAUGUUCUGGACAGCAGAAAGCCAUAUUGUGCAAAAGACUGAGGAAGAAAGGACAGGAUGAGAAAACACUGCCAGGAGAACAGACAGAUAACAGGUGCAGGAUCACAGCCAGCAGCUUGCUGAUGUCCCAGUGCUCAGAAUCUGAGAACAUGAGGAUCUUCAUAGCUGAGCGGAUGUGGGCAUAAUCCUUUGCGUCAUUCCGGCCAUCACAGGACGUGCAGUUGCCCUGCAAGACACCAUACCCACAGAUUUUACAGCUCCUGCUCAGUGAAGGCAUAUUGAAUCAUCUGCAUCCCUUCGGCACAUUCCUGUUUGACAGCAAACUGAUUGGAAACUACUUUACAAGAAGAUGAGUGGACACUACAGGACCAGAAAUUGAUCUUUGGCACUUAUUCCAGGCAAGUCCAUAACCUCUCAGAACAUCCCCCAUGAAGAAGAGACACCUGUUCUGAUUUAAUCUUGACACUCAAAUGCAAAUUUUUUGUUUUCUUGUAGCUUUUUGAGAAGUUAUUUUAU